rnacentral:rRNA from 1 species
GACGGAGGAUGCAAGCGUUAUCCGGAAUUAUUGGGCGUAAAGCGUCCGCAGGUGGUUUCACAAGUCUGCCGUUAAAGACCAGGGCUUAACCUUGGAGCGGCGGUGGAAACUGUGAGACUAGAGUGUGGUAGGGGCAGAGGGAAUUCCAGGUGUAGCGGUGAAAUGCGUAGAUAUCUGGAAGAACACCAGUGGCGAAGGCGCUCUGCUGGGCCAUAACUGACACUGAGGGACGAAAGCUAGGGG